GUCUAUGGCCUUACUACCCUGACUGUGCCUGAUCUCCCUGAUCUCGUCUCAUCUUGGAAGCUAAGCAGGGUCGGGCCUGGUUACUACUUGGAUGGGAGAAAGUGCAGAAGGAAGGUCCCUGAGGGAG
ensembl:rRNA 5S_rRNA 5S ribosomal RNA